rnacentral:lncRNA from 1 species
GCGGGGUGCUUUUUUUGGGUUAGAAUAGGUAUAACUUGAGAAGGAGGAUAACAUUUUAGUCUAGUAACUAUGGCAAACUCCUUCCAACCAAAACAAACAGGCAUGCCACAGUAAUUUAUCCAUACCUCAUCCAUCUUAUCUUUGUUUUCAUACAUAAACCUACGCUUGAGAAGUUCAUAUACCAUUUUCAUUUGGAAACGAGCAUUGUUGUCCU